rnacentral:rRNA from 1 species
UACGUAGGCAGCAAGCGUUGUUCGGAGUUACUGGGCGUAAAGGGUGCGUAGGCGGCUUUUUAAGUUUGGUGUGAAAUCUCCCGGCUCAACUGGGAGGGUGCGCCGAAUACUGAGAGGCUAGAGUGUGGGAGAGGAAAGUGGAAUUCCUGGUGUAAGCGGUGAAAUGCGUAGAUAUCAGGAGGAACACCGGUGGUGUAAACGGCUUUCUGGACCAUAACUGACGCUGAUGCACGAAAAGCGUGGGUAGCAAACAGG